rnacentral:rRNA from 1 species
UACGGAGGGUGCAAGCGUUAUCCGGAUUCACUGGGUUUAAAGGGUGCGUAGGUGGGCAGGUAAGUCAGUGGUGAAAUCUCCGGGCUUAACCCGGAAACUGCCAUUGAUACUAUCAGUCUUGAAUACCGUGGAGGUAAGCGGAAUAUGUCAUGUAGCGGUGAAAUGCUUAGAUAUGACAUAGAACACCAAUUGCGAAGGCAGCUUACUACACGUACUAUUGACACUGAGGCACGAAAGCGUGGGGAUCAAACAGG